UCCUAGACAAACCAUCACAGGCAGGUGGUGUCUCCACGUACUCUGGAUGGGGCACCACGCCCGCCAGCCCCAGGGCAGGGGUUUUCUCUCCCACGCCGUGGCCAGGCCCAGCUCCACCGCGAAGGCAGAGCGAGAAGGGGGUGUGUGUGCACGGGAGGCUGGAGGGGAGCGGGGCCGCCGAAGACCCAGCCCUUCAGGAGGUGAGGCGAGGCUGGUGUCCCCGCGCCGGGAGUCACCAGCUGGGAGUCAAAAGCAGUCAAGAGCUCACGGUGUUUCUCCCCUUUUCACCAUUUCUCACUGCUCAACCUCUCUUUCCGUUCUCUCGCCCUCCAUCCCUCCCCUCCCUCUUUGUCCGCCUUUCUCUUGCCUCGGCCUUUUGGUAACAGCCCUCCCUUCUCCCCAGAGCCCGGCUCGGACGCCGCAGCGGUCAGCUCCCUGGGGAUGCCGGCCCUGCGCGCCCCCGCCCGGCCCCCGUCCCUCUCCUGCCCUCCCGGCUCCGGGUCUCACCCAGAAGAGCAGGUUGAAGCCGAGCAGCAGUGAGGGGCCACCUCCUUUGCCUGAGAUGCUGGGCCACGCGCCCUGCAGGCGCACCUCUCCAGGUGGUUAUCGAAGCAUCGGCGAGGAAGGAGCGUCUGCUAAGAACCCUGGACCCCUUUAAUCAGCGCCCAGCCCAGAGGCCUGCGGAGAUGGUGGAGGAAUAAGGACGCGGGCCCGGUGGCUAUGGAAACCGAGGCAGAGAGUCUUGGGUAGAAGAGAUAAGUAGGAUCCAAGGCCGCCCCGAAACUGGCAGGACCCGUCGCGGGGCACCCGCCAGAACGUGCAGGACUGCGGCCCCGCUGGGUCCCGCAGCGCCGGGCAAGCGCACAGACCGCGGAGGCUGCUUGGAGGGGACCCUCCUUCCGGCCCCUCGGAGGACUGUUACCUUAAUAGGCAAGAACUUGGAGGAGGCGUGGGGUGCGGCUGCCCUGCGCCCUGACAGCUGCUCCCCAUCCUGGCUAGUGGAGGGGAAGUCAGACUCCCUGGAUUCUGCUGGCUUCAACUGACGGGAGGACUUAAAAAGCAAUCUAAGUCCUCGGGACCUUAAGUGUGUUGUAGAGAUAGGCGAGAGGGGCAAUUUUAGUUUUGCUUUGUUUUGUUAAGUUAGGCGGCUGGCUGGGGAAAUUAGGCUCCCACUCCUGUUGACUAAGCUUCUACAAUAUGUGGUGCCAGACAGUAGAGACAAUGAAGUGUAAAACUCAGAGAGCUUAUGCAUUAAUUCACAAAAAUUUAGCUUCCUGUUACAGGCCAGACGUAGUAGCAGGCCUUGGGGAUUCAACAAUGAGGAGAAAGCCAGCCCUGGUCCUGGAGGGUUUGUCCUCUCUGGUGGUGGAAGUAGACUGUAAGCAAAUAAUUACAGUGAGGUGAGGAGGUCAGGCGGGUGCCGGGCAGGCAGGGCCUGGCCUCAUUGCCUUGCCAGGGAAGGCUAUGCUGAGAAGGGAGGGCCAAAUCUGGUCUUGAAUGGAUCUGAAGGGAGAGGAAGAACAGUCAGGCAGAGGGGGCAGCAUGUGCCCCAGCACAGGGCUGGAGAGAGCAAGGCCUCUGGGAGAACUACCCCAACUGUAGUUAGCCCAAGUGGAGCAGACAGCCCUCUCUAGUGAAGGCAGAGAGGCAGGAAACGAACCGAAGGAUGACCGUGUUCCGGCUGAUGGAAUAGGAGUGGUGUCUACCGAGGGAGACAGAUGGUUUCGCUUCUUCUUCUUGAAGUUGUUGGGUCUGGAUGUUAUAUUUGAAGUUACUAUAUCCAUCUUUGUACCAGCCUGAGGACAAAUCAACAUUAAGAAGAGCAAAGCGGAAAGUUGAGAAAACCUGGGCCAUUGGUGACAUUAUCCCAUCAUUGAGGCAGCCAAUUCUGAAGCCAGUUGUAGUCUAGGUUUAUGUAUGUGUGUAUAUAUGUAUGUAUUGUGGCUGCAGGACAUCCUAACUAAUAAAGUAGGAGACUAUCUUAAAUGCCAUAAAAAGGAAGUUAGCCUUUAAACUAGAGGUUAUGCAAAACCAUGUUGUUGUUGUGUGCAGUAGAGUCAAUUCCAACUCAUAGUGACCCUAUAAGACAGAGUAGAACAGCCUCAUAGAGUUUCCUAGGUUGUAAUCUUUAUGAUAGCAGAUCCCCAGGUCUUUUCUCCCUCAAAGCCCCUAGUAUGUUCUAACCACUGACCUUUUGGCUAGCAGCUGAGUGCUUCACUUUUGUGCCACCGUGUAACCUGACAUUCCAAGGUGUGCUUGGCGGGGCUAUGAAGACACACAGAGCUGAUGAAAGCAAAAGAAGAAGCUUUAUUUAGUUGGCUAAGUAAAGGAGAACACCGCGACUUGGUUUGCCAAGGUGUCUUCCAGAACCAUAGCCCAAAGGGUUUAUAUGGAUAAAGUAAAUCGGGUCUGGGGGUCCCCAGGAGCACCCCAGGGUGGGGCCAGCUUACUGAUUGGUUUGAAAUGAGAGGGCAUUCUUGGAGUGGUCCAAUCUUCUAUGCCUGUUCAGUCUGAAAGGGGGGCUAUAAAGAUGGUGUUUUGCCCAUGUCCGGGGUGUAAAUGGGGGUGUGUUUUUCAGCCUCUGACACCAAUAAGAUGUCUGAGGGGCAAGGUCAUCAGUAUUGUGCAGUUCAGGAGGGCCUGAGCUGGUCCAAGACUGGUUUUAGCUGGACUGAAGAUCCCAGUCUCUUGUUUUCUUUAACUGAAUCGGAACUGGAAGUAUACCUAAAUAAAGAGAUACUCAAAAGCAGAGGUUAGUUCCUGUUUUGCCUAAUAAGGGGAUAGGUUCUAUGCUGGGAGUUAACUCUCCGUGUUACUGAAGAUGGCAGGCUUGGCCCCUGGCACAGCCACUUGUUUAUUCAACAUGACCAGUGUUACUGCUGUUCUCACCAGGGUUUCUUAUGUAAAGGCAUAGACAGGAUCUAAGUUGGGGGUGCUGUUGAGUUGGUCCCAACUCAUAGCAACCCUAUAGGAGAGAGUAGACCUGCCCCAUAGGGUUUCCAAGGAGCAAAUGGUGGAUUUGAACUGCCAACCUUUCGGUUAGCAGCCGAGCUCUUAACCGCUAUGCCACCAGGACUCGAGCUGGGGAUAAGAUGGUUAAAUUUGUAUUAUUAAAAAGAUUAAACUGAGGCCAUUUGGAGGAUGGUUUGGAGUUAUGACUUGAGACUAAUGAAGAGAUUGUGACAGCAAUUCAGGAAAGAAAUGAGAAGCUGAACCAAGACAGUGGUACAGGUGUAGGAAAGAGCGUUCAGAUUUGAGACAUAUUAAAAGACUUGAUAAAAAAUUAACACAGAUUGGAUAUGAGGAACAGGAGGAGAAAGAGAGGAAAGGAUGACUCCUAGGUUUCUUACUUGGGUAACUAGGCAGAUCCUGGAACCAUUAGCAGCCACAGGGAGUAUAGAAGGUCAAACAACUUUUGGGGAGAAUGUUGCAGAUGGAUUUACCCCUCACUGAAAUCCCAACCCCUUUCUCCCUGCCCACAACCAAUCUGGAAGUUAAAAACACUUAGUAUUUACUUUCUUCUGGUUUCCCUUGCAACCAAGGGUGGUCAUGUGACAUAGUUUCUAUUAAUGGAAUUUAUAUAGAAGUCAUCUAAGAGGCUUCUAGAAAAUCUUUGUUCUCUUUAUAAAAGGGACAAUUGUAAUCACUGGCAUUGAUCUCUUCUCCCCCUUUUUUCCUGUCUUGAACUCAGACACGAUGCCUGGGGCUGUAGCACAUUUUGUGACUAUGAGGAAAGGCCAAGAGAAUUGCAGACCUGCUGGCCAAGACAUUGUUGAACUGCUGAAACAACACCGGCAGCCACCUACUCAAGAUUUCUUAUUAUAUGAGGAAAUGGAGACUUAGAGACGUUUCCUGGACAGGAUGUGAAAAGUUGCAACAGACCGCUAUUACUACCGCAAUAACUGAGAAAAAAAAACCGAACAAAUUAAAAAAUCACAUACUUAACGGUGUUGGAGCCCAGUGGAAGCAACUAGUACUAGAUGGACUAAAGUUCUGGAGAAGGAAGAGCCUUUCCCAGAUGAGCCCAUCCCUCGUCCUUUUCAUCCCUGGGGCCAUUUGCCUGUUCUGAGUGUGGGUGUGGGCCUGACCUGUGGGAGCAGAGGCUCCACUGAGGGAAAGAGAAACCAGGGAGCUUUUGGUGAUUUGAAACCAGAGAAGCCCCAAAGGCAAGGUUGGUUGUCCCCAUGGGACAUUCACUGAAUUCUAGGGAAGCUAAUAAGAAGGCUCAAGUCCCUGGGAUAGAACACUGGCUAAAUCUGGUUUGAGCUGACUGAAUCACAGGCCAGUUUUAUUUUGAGUUUCUUUCCUGGGUCCCAUAGUCCCUAGAGAUCAAUCGUCUUCUUCCUUCUGCAACAUUACUCUGCAUCAGUUCUCCGAUUUUCUGCUGCAAGUAGCUUUUCUCAGGCAUUGGCGCCCCCUGCUGUCAGAGAGUAGCUUUGCAAGGACUCAUCUGUGCUGAUUCUGUUCUUCCAGGCUGAGUCAGGGAUUUAACUGCAAUGAUCAAUUCCAAACUCUGAGAUUUUGUCUCACUGGUCUCCUGUGCCCCUGAAUGCUAAGUGUUCAGAUAGGUAGAUGCCCACAGCUGCAGUGUCUUCAUCUGUAAAAUGGAGUCAACAGUGCUCACUUCACAGGGUUGUUUGUGCACUAACCGAGGCAACAUGUAAGGUGCUUAACAUUGCCAGACAUACCGCUAGUGGUUCAUGAGUAGUAAUAAUAAAACCCAACCCAAAACAAAAAAACUUGUAGUCAUUGAGUUGAUUCUGACUCAUAGUGACCCUAUAGCGAAACUAUAGGACAAAGUAGAACUGCCCCAUAGAGUUUCCAAGGAGCACCUGGUAGAUUUGAACUGCUGACUUUUGGUUAGUAGCUGUAGCUCUUAACCACUAUGAAACUAGGGUUUCCAUAAAUAACAGUAGUGGUUAUUGUUGUUGCUGUUGUUAAGGCUACCCCAGGUCCUCCUCAAGCAGGCAGAACUAGGUGGCACCCUCAGCAGUGAUGAGAGCUAGCUUUGGCUCCAGAUGUUCUGUGAUUUCAGAGGUUUCAGUCUUCCUUGCAGUAGGACACCCAGGACUAGGAGCCUGGUGCCCAAAGCUCAGGAAGAAGGGAGGAAGAGAAGGCCUGAGCUGGGGAAGAGGUGAGUGCCAGGCAGUUGCCCAGACCUCAGCCUUCUGUCUGUUAGCUGGCUAGUAUUGGCAGUUCUCAAGGCUCAGGCUUGAGUCUCUGAAAAGCUGCCUUUCGAAAGGCUGGGUCUUGUCCCGUCUUAAAAGACGGAACUUUUGACUUUCCUUUGAUGGAGGUCUUUUACAAGAGGUGCUCUGAGUUAAUUGACCUGGUGGAGAACAGUGGUUAGAGAAUUCAAAGUGAUUCUUGACCUGGAGAAUCUCCUCUGCUUUUCUGCCACAUCUCUGUGGGCCUCACUGACUGACGGAAGGCCUGGAACCGUUCCCAGCAGUGUAGUGGAUGCUGCCUGAGGACUUCCGGAUGCAGGACUGCCAGGCUCCUCGGAAGAGGCAAUCUCACUCUGGCCCUCAGUUAUCCAGCAUCCUGGGAGCUCAGGCCUUUGGAGACUUCGGCUUCAGCCCCAGAUGGCACCCAUUUCCUGUUUUUCAGCUUUCCCGGCUCUCAGGUUCCCAGGUUCCCGGCACCCUUAGCAGCAGUCUUUCCUGACAACAAAGACUCCCUGUCACUUGUCAUUUUGAAAGCACAUGCUGUCCCUUGGGCACCCAUCUGCAUUCCCCGAUCUUGGCCUGUGUUCCCUCCUCUCCCCAGUGUGCUUUGGCCCAGUCUCUGGCUCUAGAGGAGGCAGCUGGUUGCCAAGCCCCUGGACCUAGUUCUUCCCCAGGGUCCCAAAUUCUGUCUCCCACACAGGGACAUAGCCAGCAGCAGCCUAUGCCAAGGAUGGGUCAGUGUCUGAGGCAUUCCAGGUGACCUGUGUGUUUCUGGGCAGCCAAUCAGACCCGGCAGCACCCUGCUGACUCUGAGCAACUUUUUAUGUUUGGUCUUCUCAGCAUUAUGACUUGGGUUGUGACUUUUUUAUUUCUACCUGCUCACAUAUUACCCCAUACAGGGACCAUGGACUUAGGUUUGAGCCUGUGACUUUGUUCUCUUCUGUGGUCGCCAGAGAAAAUGCAGGAAGCCAGUUAAGUUUGAAUUUCAGGUUAGCAAGUUCUACUGUGUCUUAUAGGGUCGCUAUGAGUCGAAUCAACACCAGCAGGUUUGAUGUUGGUUUAUGUCUCAUUCAAUAUACAGUACUAAAAAAUUACUCACUGAUUAUCUGAAAUUUAAAUUAAACUGGGUAUCUUAUAUUCUUAUUUGCUAAAUCUGGCAACACUAUCCUGAUCUGCCCCAUCAGAGGGGCCUCCUGAGCUCAGGAACUUUCUGAACUUCCUAAGACAGGUUCCUUGACAACAGGGUCACUGCCUUGCCUUUUUAGGUUAGUAGAUUCUGAAGGGCUCAACUUAUGAUUUCUUCAUUUGAUUGGGAGCCCCUUGAUGGCAGGGCUCAUGCUCUCCUCACCCUGCUCCUGUGUCUGAUGGUCAGCCCACCAUGAUGCUCUAGGGUAGGCCUUGUUGUGUACUCACGCAAUAUCUCAAGUAGGGCCUGAGGGGCUGGGCGUGCUGUGAGCAGUUUGGGUGUAGGGCUUCCUUUCCUGGAAAGGAAAUAUAAUGAGCUGUGUCUAGUGGUGUCUCCUUGCUUGAAGAACCACAUUUCCUGAAGUGGCAACUGGCAGGUGAGGGGAAGGGAAACCUUGAAAAAUACUUCCCGUGGAUCACAGGUCUAGAGAUGCCCAAAGGGCUGGCAGAUUUACCCUGAGCUAAGUAGGCUUCCUCUGGGUGCUUUGCAGGGCACAGAGGCUCAUUUUACACUUUCCUGAAGCAUAAGGUACAGGAUAAAGGGCAGACCUGGACCCCUUUCUGUCUGUCUGAUGGCCUUUCAAUUUCCUAGCUUGUACCUCAUCUCAAAACUUUUGAGGGGGCCAACUCUUUUGUUAGAUAGAUGAAGAAAAGGGCACAGAGAGGUGAAAUAAUCUGACCAGAGCUGCAGGGCUAAUUAAUGGAAGACUUGGGACAGAAUCUGGCUCUUUUGGCUCUCAGUUCAGUGCUCAGCACAAGGAGGCUGUCUUUCUGGGAUACUAGGGGAGAAGAAAGAGGGCAGUGGGGGCUGACUUGGGGGAGGAGGUUUACCAAAACCCCAGUCUCUGACAGCAGUUACUGAUUAUUACUUCUAUUUUCAGUAGAGAUGACAGAAAGUGUCAAAACCAAAUAUUAACUGAAGGUGAAGUCUAAACUCUUCAAAUAAGAUUUAGUGAAUCACCUGAUUGAGGGGAACACAGACUUUGAGAAUUCCCUGCAGCCUGGCUCAUCUUGAGAACAUGGGUAGACGUCUUCUGGUUAUGUUUUGAAAGCCUCCCCCCUGCCCCUUUUAUUUUUCUUUCAUGGAAGGAAAAUAAAUUUUAUCCUGGGGUUGUGAAGCAAAGGAGGCCCUGAAAGCCUGUGAUCAGUGAGUGACAGCUUCUAGGUCCAAACACUGUCUAUAGAUAGCCUUUGGGCUCAAACACCCUCUGUUUCUUUCUCUCCCGCCUGCCCCCUGCCUUUCAUUCUCACACUCAUCUUUAAGGGCCUGUGCAGAUUGUGCAGAUGUGCAGUUCACUCCAGUUACUGGUUCUCUUGGAGAGUCACUCAUUGUCCCUUGCCUCAACAGGGCCUUUCUGAGAAAGGUAUCUCUUUCUUCGAAAGCACAGUCUUUUCUACCUUGGCUCGAGCAAGCCUCUAGUGCACACCCUGUCCCAUUAUUAUAUCAUCGUUUUUCCUACAUUUCAAGUUCCUCAGCACCCCUUAUUACUCUCUGUUGGAACUUGCACAUGUUCUUCUGACAGGGGAGGGCUACUCCUGCCUCUUGGUAUUUCUGAACUCCAGCUCCUUCCCUUGGGCUCUUUUUCACUGUCGCAACCCUUGCCCACCUGACAGCUCUUAGGAGUGAUUAAUGGUGCCAUCUCUUAUUACAUUGCUGGAGGGAAGAAGGUGAGGAGGCUGAAAGAAAGAGAGAGGGGCCUGGGUCUAGGGGUGGGUGGGUUUGUCUCUCUGGAGGGACCCCAGGUCCUAUGUAACGCAUAGAAUUUCAUGCACGGGGCCCUUUGUGGACAAUAAAAUAGGUUUUAACAAUUUUUUAAUUAAAAUGGAAGUUUUAGAAAGGACUACCCCCCUGCAUUGAUGCUCUGGCAUGAAAAGAAUAGUUUAUUGUUGAACAACACACACACACACACAAAUUACCAUACUUUGAUUAUAGUAAAAUAAAUAAUUUCUGUUUAUCAAACAUCUUGGAGACAAUUUGCAAAAUGGGAGAAGAUAUUUGGGAUGCAUAUAACUGGCAGAAGAUUAAUAUCAAGGAUACAGAACUAGAAUUCAAUAAAAAGAGGAUAAACAACUCAUUAGGAAAAUGGGUAAAAGACACGAACAGGGAUUUCAAAGAAGAGGAAAUAUAUAUGGCUAAUAAACAUACGAAGGGGUGUUCAAUCUUUUACACAUAUACUAGGAGAAAUGUACAAGAAUGUUCAUAGCAGCAAUAGGAAGAAAAAAAAAGGCGAUAACCCAAAUGCCCAGAAAUAGGGGUUUUAAACCCAUAUUGUUUAGGCAUAUGUUCCAGUUACCUAUUGCUGCAUAACCAGUCAUCUCGAAACUUAAUCAGCACAACAUGACUAAGGCAAAGGAAGACACUUAGAGGAGCACAAGAAAAAAAAAAAAGAGGCAACCACAGUAAAUACUAUAGCGUAUAAAACCCUACAACAACAGUAAAAACAAGUAAUAACUUAAAAGCAGAUACAUAGAAGGAUACGUAUGCUGAAUAGGGGAAGGAGGGUGUAUGGGAUUACACCAGUGGAUGUUUUUAUAUACAUAUUUAUGUAUGUGCAGCAUGUAUAUUCAUAUACAUAAUAGAGCACACAUGGGCCACAGUCAUGGAAGCUUCCUAGAUGCAACCAAACACCUCGGGGGACCGAGUUGCUGGAGCUGAGGGCUAGGGACCGUGGUCUCAGGGCACAUCUAAGUCAACUGACAUAACAUAGUUUAUAAAGAAUAUGUUCUACAUUUAUUUUGGUGAGUAGCGUCUGGGGUCUCAAAAGCUCGCGAGCAGUCAUCUAAGAUACACCUAUUAGUCCCAUCCCAGAGUGAAGGAGAAUGAAGAAAACAAAAGGAAAAUAUUAGUCCGAAGGACUAAUGGACCACAUGAACCACAGCCUCCACAAGCUUGAGUUCAGAAGAACUAGAUGAUGCCCAGGUACUACUACCGACAGCUCUGAUGAGGAUCACAACAGAGGGUCUCAGACAGUGUAGGAGAAAAAUGUAAAACGAAAUUCAAAUUCAUGAAAAAAACCAGACCUAUUUGUCUGACAGAGACUGGAGGAACCCUGAGACUACGGCCCCCAGACACCCUUCUAACUCAGAACUGAAGCCACUCUCAAAAUUCACCCUUCAGCCAAAGAUUAGACAGGCCUAUAAAAUAAACAAUAACACAUGUGAGGAAUGUGCUUCUUAGAUCAGUCAAGUAUGUGAAAGCAAAUAGGCAACACCUGCUCAAAAGCAAAGACAAAAAAGCAGGGAGGGACAGGAAAA